rnacentral:rRNA from 1 species
UAGGGAAUAUUGCACAAUGGGGAAGACCCUGAUGCAGCGACGCCGCGUGAAGGAAGAAGUAUCUCGGUAUGUAAACUUCUAUCAGCAGGGAAGAAAAUGACGGGUAACCUGACUAAGAAGCCCCGGCUAACUACGCUGCCAGCAGCCGCGGUAAUACGUAGGGGCAAGCGGUUAUCCGGAUUUACUGGGUGUAAAGGGAGCGUAGACGGAGCAGCAAGUCUGAUGUGAAAGGCAGGGGCUCAACCCCUGACCUGCAUUGGAAACUGUUGGUCUUGAGUACCGGAGGGGUAAGCGGAAUUCCUAGUGUAGGGUGAAAUGCGUAGAUAUUAGGAGGAACACCAGUGGCGAAGGCGGCUUACUGGACGGUAACUGACGUUGAGGCUCGAAAGCGUGGGGAGCAAACAGGAUUAGAUACC